ensembl:snoRNA
UGCCUCUUUUUGUUAAAGACAAUUUGCUUUACAGUAGUGCCCAUCUCCUAUCAGUCAGGGAUGAAGCAAUCCCUUGUUCAUCCCCAGCUUGGCUUUUGAUCUAUGCCUGGUUCAUGGCUUGGACACAUGG